rnacentral:rRNA from 1 species
GAUGAACGCUAGCGGCAGGCCUAAUACAUGCAAGUCGAACGAGAUUAGGAGGCUUGCUUCUUAUGACAGCGGCGCACGGGUGCGUAACGCGUAUGCAACCUACCUUAAUCAGGGGGAUAGCUCGAAGAAAUUCGGCUUAUGACCCCAUAAAAACACAGGAUAGCAUUAUCCAACUUUCAAAUAUUUAUUGGCUUAUGAUGGGCCGGCGUGUCAUUAAGUAGUUGGCGUGGUAACGUCCCACCACGGCGACGAUUACUAGGGGAUCUGAGAGGAUGACCCCCCGCACUGGGACUGGGACACGAACCAGACGCCUACGAGAGGCAGCAGUAAGGGAUAUUGGGCCAAAGAGCGAACUCUGAACCGGCGAGGCCGCGUAGAAGAAGACAGCCCUCUGAAGCGCAAAAUGCUUUGAUGAGGGAAUAUACCUUUCUACGUGUAUGAAGCGACAUGUACCGAAGGAAUAGGGACCGGCAAACUCCGG